UACAGAGGGUGCAAGCGUUAAUCGGAAUUACUGGGCGUAAAGGGCGCUUAGGCGGCCUUCUAAGUCGAACGUGAAAUCCCCGGGCUCAACCCGGGAACUGCGUCCGAUACUGGAAGGCUUGAAUCCGGGAGAGGGAUGUGGAAUUCCAGGUGUAGCGGUGAAAUGCGUAGAUAUCUGGAGGAACACCGGUGGCGAAGGCGACAUCCUGGACCGGUAUUGACGCUGAGGCGCGAAAGCCAGGGGAGCAAACGGG
rnacentral:rRNA from 1 species